AGCAACGGGCACCUGGGCAACGGCGCUGGCGCGGGGCUGAGGGCCCUAGUCUGCAGACAGGAAAGCUAAGGUGUGACAUGACAAGGGCACAGCCAUCCCUGACAGAAAAGAAAGGAAAAUGACUGUCCAGGAGAGCAGCUACAGACCAACACGCGACGCACGCGGCUGGCUGUGCUCUGCUCUGCAUGCUCACAGACAUGGGCCGCAGUCUACACAGCCAUCGGAAGCUGGAGCCGGGCUCUGGGAAGGAGCUGGGAAGUGAGCUGAGCGCCCUCGGCAAACAGGAAGAAACCCAGCCUCACUCGGCCAGAGCCAGAGCUGGGGAAAACCUUCUGGAGACCUGCACACGCUGAGUAUCAAAGGUCGGGAUCUGUUCCGUGCAGUGCUGUUUGUGAGCAGAGGGCACCUGACCAACCGAGAACCAGCUAAUAACCAACAUGUGAGCCUGCAAGAGAAGCUGGUCCUGUAAACAGCCAUUCUACUCAGGAGAGAACAGCACACAGUCUGCUGUCUAGAGCGAGCCAAUGCCGGGCAGGCUGCCUGCCGGCCGCCAUCUUUGCACUUUCCAGUGGAACUGCAGCUCAAUAAAACGGUUCCUUAGACAUUAAAAAAA